AAAGAGAGCUUGCUCUCUGGAUCAGUGGCGAACGGGUGAGUAACACGUGAGCAAUCUGCCCCUGACUCUGGGAUAAGCGUUGGAAACGACGUCUAAUACCGGAUACGAGCUGCGAAGGCAUCUUCAGCAGCUGGAAAGAACUUCGGUCAGGGAUGAGCUCGCGGCCUAUCAGCUAGUUGGUGAGGUAAUGGCUCACCAAGGCGUCGACGGGUAGCCGGCCUGAGAGGGUGACCGGCCACACUGGGACUGAGACACGGCCCAGACUCCUACGGGAGGCAGCAGUGGGGAAUAUUGCACAAUGGGCGCAAGCCUGAUGCAGCAACGCCGCGUGCGGGAUGACGGCCUUCGGG
rnacentral:rRNA from 1 species